rnacentral:hammerhead_ribozyme from 1 species
AGCCGAAACGCCCCAUCGAGGGGCGUCGUCUGCGGGUGGUUCUGCGGAAGGUGAAGAUGGCAGCCAACC